AUGAAGACUUAAAAAUAGCUCAACUGAAAAUGGAUAUUCUGGUUAAGUACAGGUAAAACAUCAGAUCAAAUAUGAAAAUAGCAGUGAUCAGCACCAAGCUCCUUAUGGAGAAAGAGCAUGUGAAAUCUUCUUAGCACUCUUUCUAUGAGGCCAGGACUCAACAGAAAAUACAUUCCUGAAACACCCAUAAGAAUUCCUACUUCAAACCCACAGACUUCAAAUACCUGCAAGAACUAUUUAACUGAGGUGGCUGUGAUUCACUGCAAAGGACAUCAAAGAGGCUGUGGUAACCAAAGAGCAGACGCUGCGGCUCGGCUCCCGGUCGUGCCUUUAACCCUGCUGCCCACUGUGUCCUUUCCGCAACCGGACUCGCCAGACCACCCAGAAUACGCCCCUGAGGAAGAAAAUCAAGCUUCAGAUAUUCAGGCCAGUAAAAAUCAGGAAGGAGGAGUAAAAUUGGCCCAGCUUCUAAGGAGCCAUUUCAAGAUCCCCCACCUUCAGGACUUAGCUAACCAAGCAGCUCUCCAGUGUACGGCUUGUGCUCAGUACCUGCAGUCUCUCCAACAAGUACAAGACAUCAUCCAGCCGCUUGUCCGGGGAGCUCAUCCCAAUCCAGUUCCUGACCAGACGGGUGACCUGGUAUAUGUUAAAAAAUUCCAGAAGGAAGGACUCACUCCUGCCUGGAAAGGACCUCAUACUAUCAUCCUCACUACACCAAUGGCUCUGAAGGUGGACGACAUUCCUGCUUGGAUUCAUCACUCUCGCAUCAAAAAGGCCAACAAAGCCCAAACCUGCUGUACCCACGAAGAACAGCGCGAUCUGCCGAUCAUGGGAGCAGGAAACGUCGACAUUGCUGCAGAGUUUGGACACACCAGAAGCCGGACUGGAUGUGGAAGCUCUAAGGGUGCAGAAAAGGGCUCCAGAGCGUUGGCUUUCACCUUCGUCCUGGAAAUCACCCUGACUCUAGCUGCUGAGAUUCUUACCAGUUUUUCUGCCCUCACUGGACGUGUGUCACUUUGCCCACUUACUCUGGAGGAUCAACCCCACCCUCAGUCCUUUCCAUAGCUCGCACUUCCCGUCCUAGACCGUGUACUAUAGGAAAUUGCAAUCCUCUUACUGUAACUGUCCGUAACUCUAGUUUAGCUCAAUGGUAUUAUGGCAUGUCACAGGGAUUAAGGCUUUAUAUUCUGGGAUUUGAUGUUGGAACUAAGUUCACCAUCCAGAAAAAGGUCCUGGUCCCACGGAGCCCUCCUAAGCCAAUCGUACCUUUAACUGAUUUGGUGACCCUGCGUUCCAAAAACACCCAGACACAAUUUAACUGUCCCACCAUCGUUCCUGCUUCCUAGACCUCAGCUGCAAUGACAACACCUCCAACCCAGCCUGAAGUCCACUCUGGACAGUGUUCCUCACCUCCUGAGUCUCACCCAGCCUGAAGUCCAUUCUGGACAGCGUUCCUCACUUACCUCCUGAAUCUCACCCAGCCUGAAGUCCACUCUGGACAGUGUUCCUCACCUCCUGAAUCUCACCAGCCUGAAGUCCAUUCUGGACAGUGCUCCUCACUCACCUCCUGAAUCUCACCCAGCCUGAAGUCCACUCUGGACAGUGUUCCUCACCUCCUGAAUCUCACCAGCCUGAAGUCCAUUCUGACGCAGGCCAGACCUCAAGAGGCAGCUAAGGGAUGGGGAGAGAACAGAGGACUUUCCCCACAGACGCCCAGAACCCACAUCCAACCUCAGCCCACAACUCCCCAGCGUGGGCCCCCUGGCUUCUCCUGCUGAGUAUGUUCGUGGCCAUCAUUUCUUUGGAGGAAAUUAGAUUCUUUGGGGCUCCCGUUGCUCUCUGCUGCUCGCUCUCCUCUGCUGCCAGUCCUAAGAGUGCCCCUGUGUAGAGGGGGAGAAGGACACCCACCCUUACAGCUCCCCGCAUGAGGCUGGAAAGUGUCCAAUUCUCCCCUAGACCCCAUGUAUACAGCUUCCUUGAAUAAACGGAGAAAUUGAUCCCGCUAGUCUUAAAGGAAGUUACAUUUGUUUCAUCUGAGUUCCCUGAAACUUACCAGCCCAGGGUCUGACAAUGAGAAGCCAGCCCUUCAGCCCCUAUGAUUGCCUAAGGCACCACCUGCUGCCUGGUAACCAACUUCUCUUCCUCACCCCUCCCCAAUUCUUGUUUUUCCACACAUGGUUACAUUUCUUCGUGGCUAGCCCUGCAGGACCCCCAGUCUAUCAACUAACCCGGAUGUUGAGAGAGGCUCUCUCGGCCCCCUUCCCUGCCCAGUUCUUUCCCUCCUCCUGUCUCUACCCUGCCCCCACCCCUUCCGCAGAGGCCCAGUUGGGCCUCUGAAAAAACGCGGGGGUGGUGGGCUCUGCCUGGGGAACCUGGGGAGGAAGGGCGGUUCUCCAAGUCCCCUUGGUCGCACCCCAGUCAUUCCGACCUUGCAUUCGUGCGCGGCUUCCUUGCCCUCUCUGUGCAGCCAAAAGGCGCAAAUUCAAGAACUGCAAGAUGGCGCACCAGGUGAAACAAGCGGCUGCGCCUGCAGAGGUGCUGGGACCCAGACCACUGGUGGCCUUUCCAGCAUCAGGUUCCGAACCAACCCGCCUCCUGCACCCUGUUCCUACCGAGAGGUGACAACGUGCUAGCAGCCCUCGCUCACUCUCGGCACCUCCUCCGCCUCGGCGUCUGCUCUAGCCGCGCUCCAGGAGCCCUUCAACCCGCAGCUGCGCUGCGAGGGCCCCUCUCUGGGGCUGGCCAGGGCCAGCGCCGGCUCCCUCUGCUCGCGGGGAGGUGUGGAGGGAGAGGCGCGGGCGGGAGGCCAGGCUGCGCGUGGGGCUCACGGGCCGGCGCGGGUUCCGGUGGGCGCGGGCUCUGUGGGCCGGGCCCUCGCUGUGGCCUGCUGGGCUUGAUGGAGGGAGGAGCUCUCUCUGGGCCGCCGGAGUCCCCGGCCUGGGUGGCGACUGCUAUUUAGAGGUGGAGCCGGCUGGGCUUCUGGGUCAGGUGGGGACCCGGAGAACUUUUCUGUCUAGCCAAAGGUUUGUGAACGCACCAAUCAGCUCUCUGUCAAGAUGGACCAAUCAGCUCUGUCAAGACGGACCAAUCAGCUCUCUGUAAAACGGACCAAUCAGCUCUGUCAAGAUGGACCAAUCAGCAGCAUGUGGGUGGGGUCAGAUAAGAAUAAAAGCAGGCUGCCCGCCCCAACAGCAGCAACUCCUUGCGGUGCGUUUUCCACCCCGUGGUUGCUUUGUUCUUUUGCUGUUUGCAAUAGAUCUUGUUGCUGCUUACUCUCUGGGCCUGUGCCACCUUUAUGAGCUGUAACACCUCGAAGGUCUGCAGCGUCACUCCUGAGGCCAGCAAGACCCCUAACCCACUGGAAGGAAGGAACAAGUCCAGAUGUGCAGCCUUUAAGAGCUGUAACCCUCACCUCCAGGGUCCACAGCAGGAACCCACCAGAAGGAAGAAACUCCAGAUACAUCUGAACAUCUGAAGGACAAACUCCUGAUACACCAUCUUUAAGAAUUGUAACACUCACCGCGAGGGUCUGCAGCUUCAUUCUGGAAGUCAGUGAGACCAAGAACCCACCAAUUCUGGACACACUACUGGCACCCUGCUCCUACCAACGCCCUGCCCUGCCAUCGCCCUCCACUUGCCCUCCACCUACCCGCACCUGGGUCCUAACCUGGGUGUCCCGCCCCACCAGCACCCUGCUCCUACCCACACGCUGCUCCACCCACAUCGGGCUCUCAGCACAUCAUACCUGUGGCCCCACCCCACAAUCACUCUGCCCCUCCCACACCCUGUCCCGCUCUCCAGCACCCCGAUCCUACCUUCACCUUGCACCUAUCCAUGCUUCUCCCUGCCAGCACCCUGCUCCAUCAGCACCCUGCUCCACUCGCACCCACUUCUACCUGUGCCCUGUGCCACCAGCACCCUGCUCCUACUGCACCCGGCUCCUACCAAUGCCCUGUCAUCACCCUCUACCCACCUGUGCCAUGGUCCUAACUGUGCCCUGCCCCGCCAGCACCCUGCUCCUACCCACACUUUGCCCCUUCCUGGGCCUGGCCCAGCUGCCACCCUUCUCCUACUGUACCCCGCUUCUACCUGAGUCCGACCCUGCAGCACCUGGCACCUACCUGGACUUUUCUCCUACCUGCUGCCCUGCCCGGCAGCACCACAUCCUACCCGUACCCCACCCCGCCAACAGCCAACUGCUACCCAUCCUGCAGCACCCCCUCCUACCCGCGCUUCUCCCCACCAGCACCCCGCCCCGCCCCAUCAGCAUCCUGCUCCGUCCCCACCCCGCUUCUACCCGUGCCCUGCGCCACCAGCACCCUGCUCCUAAGCGCGUCCUGUACCCUACUCCUACCGGCACCCCACUCCUACCAGCACCCCGCUCCUACCGACGCCCUGCUCUGCCGUCACUCUCCACCCACCCGCGUCCCGGUCCUAACCACGCCCCGCCCCGCCAACACCCAACUGCUACCCGUCCUGCAGCACCCCAUCCUACCCACGCGCGCCUCGCCAGAAGCCCAAUCUUACACGCCCUCUGCUCCUACCCACGCCCUGCCGUGCCAGCACCUCAGUAUUAUCCACACCCUGCUCCUACUGUGCCCCACCCCACUCCUAGGAGCACCGUGCUCUGACGCCCCCCACACCUACCCCCACCCCUGCCCCACCAGCACCCCGUUCCUACUGGAGCCCAUCCACACUGCACCCUGGUCCUGCCUGCAUCGUGAUCCUGCCCCUGCCCAGCUCCUGCCCACUUGAGGUCUUCAGACUCUUAACAUUUAGACAACCACACAAUCCAUUAAAAUCCAUUAAAAUCCAGCAUUAAAAUUCAUGCUGGAAUUUAAUAUGAAAUUAAAGAGGUCUAGGAAAUAAGAAGUCACCAAAUUCUCAAAAAUACCUUUAUUAAAGUAACAUGUAAUUUUUAAAAGUAGUUUUAGACAAGACAACUUCAUUUAUGGCACAUAAAAUUCCAUAUCUUGUGCAUAACACUUUACAAUGAGAACUUUUGUUAACCAGGACAUGUUAUUUUCUAUGUUCAUUCUUUUGACACAUAGAUUUUUGUUUCCUUCCUAGACUUGUAAAAAUGCCUGUUUCGGAUUCCUUCAGAGUACAGAUGAAAAGGAAAUCUACCAUCACCAUACGGUAGAUGUGAAAAUUCAAAGAGGUGCCGUGGCUUUAAGUAGACAUUUCGGUGAGUGUGAAAAAGCGAGGUUCGGUGAAGAUCAGAAAGGAAAGGAAUCACCACUGCUAUG